rnacentral:rRNA from 1 species
UACGGGGGGGCAAGCGUUGUUCGGAAUUACUGGGCGUAAAGGGCUCGUAGGCGGCCAACUAAGUCAGACGUGAAAUCCCUCGGCUUAACCGGGAACUGCGUCUGAUACUGGAUGGCUUGAGUUUGGGAGAGGGAUGCGGAAUUCCAGGUGUAGCGGUGAAAUGCGUAGAUAUCUGGAGGAACACCGGUGGCGAAGCGGCGAGUCCUGGACCAACACUGACGCUGAGUGAGCGAAGCCAGGGAGCAACGGG